rnacentral:tRNA from 1 species
GCCGUGGUGGUUCAGUGGUAGAAUUCUUGCUUCCGUGUAGGAGACCCAGGUUCAAUUCCCAGCCAAUGCA